CUUGGGCGAAUUCUGCAGAUAUCCAUCACACUGGCGGCCGCUCGAGCAUGCAUCUAGAGGGCCCAAUUCGCCCUAUAGUGAGUCGUAUUACAAUUCACUGGCCGUCGUUUUACAACGUCGUGACUGGGAAAACCCUGGCGUUACCCAACUUAAUCGCCUUGCAGCACAUCCCCCUUUCGCCAGCUGGCGUAAUAGCGAAGAGGCCCGCACCGAUCGCCCUUCCCAACAGUUGCGCAGCCUGAAUGGCGAAUGGACGCGCCCUGUAGCGGCGCAUUAAGCGCGGCGGGUGUGGUGGUUACGCGCAGCGUGACCGCUACACUUGCCAGCGCCCUAGCGCCCGCUCCUUUCGCUUUCUUCCCUUCCUUUCUCGCCACGUUCGCCGGCUUUCCCCGUCAAGCUCUAAAUCGGG
rnacentral:rRNA from 1 species